AACGAACGCUGGCGGCGUGCCUAACACAUGCAAGUCGCGCGAGAAAGCAGCUUCGGCUGUGAGUAAAGCGGCGCACGGGUGAGUAACACGUGGAUAAUCUGCCUCAUGGAUUGGGACAACCUGCCGAAUGGCGGGCUAAUACCGGAUGUGUUCUUCUGGUCUGCGGACUGGGAGAAGAAAGGGUGCUGUCAAAGGUAUCGCCAUGAGAUGAGUCCGCGGCCCAUCAGGUAGUUGGUGAGGUAAAGGCUCACCAAGCCUAAGGCGGGUAGCUGGUCUGAGAGGCUGAACAGCCACACUGGAACUGAGACACGGUCCAGACUCCUACGGGAGGCAGCAGUGGGGAAUUUUGGUCAAUGGGCGCAAGCCUGAACCAGCAACGCCGCGUGGGUGAUGAAGGCCUUCGGGUUGUAAAGCCCUGUCGGGAGGGACGAAUUCCCAGAGUAACGAACUGGGUUGACGGUACCUCCAAAGGAAGCACCGGCUAACUCUGUGCCAGCCGCCGCGGUAAGAC
rnacentral:rRNA from 1 species